AACGUAUCUGGUGGAUCGUAACGCCUCUUGGCUUCUGUCAUGUUCCUUAUUGUUAAGAUGCCAUGCCAUGCAAAUCCCUUGAAGCCCCUGAGUCACCUUGUCCUGGGUUUCCUCUUCAGUGGUGUGUUGAUUCAUUCCUUCAUGCAGCUUGUCUUUAUGGAGAUUCUACUGUGUGCCAGGAUUUGUGCUGAUGACAAAAACGACACUGUCCCAGUUCAAAUAUAGCUUAUAGUCUUUACUA